rnacentral:rRNA from 1 species
CAUGUCUUUUUGAUAAUAAUUUAAGGUCUGGUCUGCUCAAUGAUUUUAAAUUGCCGCGGUAUUUUGACUGUGCAAAGGUAGCAUAAUAAUUAGUUUUUUAAUUGGGAACUGGAAUGAAUGAUUGAAUGAGAAAUUUUCUGUCUCUUUAUUAAUUAUUUUUGAAUUUAAUUUUUAAGUUAAAAAGCUUAAAUUAAAGUAAAAGACGAGAAGACCCUAUAGAGUUUAAUUUUUUAUUAUUUUAUUUUUUUUUGGUAUUUAUUUAAUGAUUUAAGAUAAAAUUUCAUUGGGGAGUUGAGAAGAUUAAUUAAACUCUUUUUUAAAUAUCAGAGAUUUUUGAAUUGAUAAUCUUAAUUUUUAAAGUUUAAAUUAAAUUACCUUAGGGAUAACAGCGUAAUUUUUCUUUAAAGUUCUUAUUGAAAGAGAAGAUUGCGACCUCGAUGUUGGAUUAAAAUUAAUUUUUGGCGUAGAAGCUUUAUUAUUUAGUCUGUUCGACUAUUAAAAUUUUACAUGAUCUGAGU